AGAUUAAACUGAAGAGUUUGAUCCUGGCUCAGAUUGAACGCUAGCGGGAUGCUUUACACAUGCAAGUCGAACGGCAGCGCGAGAGAGCUUGCUCUCUUGGCGGCGAGUGGCGGACGGGUGAGUAAUAUAUCGGAACGUGCCCAGUAGCGGGGGAUAACUACUCGAAAGAGUGGCUAAUACCGCAUACGCCCUACGGGGGAAAGGGGGGGAUCGCAAGACCUCUCACUAUUGGAGCGGCCGAUAUCGGAUUAGCUAGUUGGUGGGGUAAAGGCUCACCAAGGCAACGAUCCGUAGCUGGUUUGAGAGGACGACCAGCCACACUGGGACUGAGACACGGCCCAGACUCCUACGGGAGGCAGCAGUGGGGAAUUUUGGACAAUGGGGGAAACCCUGAUCCAGCCAUCCCGCGUGUAUGAUGAAGGCCUUCGGGUUGUAAAGUACUUUUGGCAGAGAAGAAAAGGUACCUCCUAAUACGAGGUACUGCUGACGGUAUCUGCAGAAUAAGCACCGGCUAACUACGUGCCAGCAGCCGCGGUAAUACGUAGGGUGCAAGCGUUAAUCGGAAUUACUGGGCGUAAAGCGUGUGUAGGCGGUUCGGAAAGAAAGAUGUGAAAUCCCAGGGCUCAACCUUGGAACUGCAUUUUUAACUGCCGAGCUAGAGUAUGUCAGAGGGGGGUAGAAUUCCACGUGUAGCAGUGAAAUGCGUAGAUAUGUGGAGGAAUACCGAUGGCGAAGGCAGCCCCCUGGGAUAAUACUGACGCUCAGACACGAAAGCGUGGGGAGCAAACAGGAUUAGAUACCCUGGUAGUCCACGCCCUAAACGAUGUCAACUAGCUGUUGGGGCCGUUAGGCCUUAGUAGCGCAGCUAACGCGUGAAGUUGACCGCCUGGGGAGUACGGUCGCAAGAUUAAAACUCAAAGGAAUUGACGGGGACCCGCACAAGCGGUGGAUGAUGUGGAUUAAUUCGAUGCAACGCGAAAAACCUUACCUACCCUUGACAUGUCUGGAAAGCCGAAGAGAUUUGGCCGUGCUCGCAAGAGAACCGGAACACAGGUGCUGCAUGGCUGUCGUCAGCUCGUGUCGUGAGAUGUUGGGUUAAGUCCCGCAACGAGCGCAACCCUUGUCAUUAGUUGCUACGCAAGAGCACUCUAAUGAGACUGCCGGUGACAAACCGGAGGAAGGUGGGGAUGACGUCAAGUCCUCAUGGCCCUUAUGGGUAGGGCUUCACACGUCAUACAAUGGUCGGGACAGAGGGUCGCCAACCCGCGAGGGGGAGCCAAUCUCAGAAACCCGAUCGUAGUCCGGAUCGCAGUCUGCAACUCGACUGCGUGAAGUCGGAAUCGCUAGUAAUCGCGGAUCAGAAUGUCGCGGUGAAUACGUUCCCGGGUCUUGUACACACCGCCCGUCACACCAUGGGAGUGGGUUUCACCAGAAGUAGGUAGCCUAACCGUAAGGAGGGCGCUUACCACGGUGGGAUUCAUGACUGGGGUGAAGUCGUAACAAGGUAGCCGUAUCGGAAGGUGCGGCUGGAUCACCUCCUUU
rnacentral:rRNA from 1 species